rnacentral:rRNA from 1 species
GUGAGGAAUAUUGGUCAAUGGGCGCAAGCCUGAACCAGCCAUGCCGCGUGCAGGAAGACGGUCCUAUGGAUUGUAAACUGCUUUUAUUUGGGAAUAAACUCCGGUACGUGUACCGGCCUGAAGGUACCAAAUGAAUAAGCACCGGCUAACUCCGUGCCAGCAGCCGCGGUAAUACGGAGGGUGCAAGCGUGAUCCGGAAUCAUGGGGUUUAAAGGGUCCGCAGGCGGUCUUAUAAGUCAGUGGUGAAAGCCUACAGCUCAACUGUAGAACUGCCAUUGAUACUGUAGGACUUGAAUUCGAUCGAAGUGGGCGGAAUGUGACAUGUAGCGGUGAAAUGCUUAGAUAUGUCACAGAACACCGAUAGCGAAGGCAGCUCACUAGGUCUGGAUUGACGCUCAGGGACGAAAGCGUGGGGAGCAAACAGGAUUAGAAACCCCUGUAGUCC